rnacentral:misc_RNA from 1 species
GUGGAAUGAUGUAAAAAAAAAAUUUUAUUAGGUUUUAGGGACCAAUUUGCUAAUCACAAUUGCAAAUAUUUUUUUUUUUUAGAUAAAGAAUUGCAAAGUAAAGCUGUCAAAAACUACCCCGAUGGCUCUUGCGCCACCACUUUCAAAAGUCGUGCAAUCAUUUUCCGAAUAUAACAAAAAAUUGAAUCCCGAGUGAUCUUGUUCACCCCCCAAGGUCCAUUCCAAUCUCCAUCACAAUCAAUCACGCUGUUUAAGACCUCCUAACCGCACUUUGCCUGUAAUUAAUCAAAUAAAUUGUUCU